CUUUCGGGCGGGGAUUAGUGGCGAACGGGUGAGUAACACGUGGGCAAUCUGCCCUGCACUCUGGGACAAGCCCUGGAAACGGGGUCUAAUACCGGAUAUGACUGUCCAUCGCAUGGUGGAUGGUGUAAAGCUCCGGCGGUGCAGGAUGAGCCCGCGGCCUAUCAGCUUGUUGGUGAGGUAGUGGCUCACCAAGGCGACGACGGGUAGCCGGCCUGAGAGGGCGACCGGCCACACUGGGACUGAGACACGGCCCAGACUCCUACGGGAGGCAGCAGUGGGGAAUAUUGCACAAUGGGCGAAAGCCUGAUGCAGCGACGCCGCGUGAGGGAUGACGGCCUUCGGGUUGUAAACCUCUUUCAGCAGGGAAGAAGCGAAAGUGACGGUACCUGCAGAAGAAGCGCCGGCUAACUACGUGCCAGCAGCCGCGGUAAUACGUAGGGCGCAAGCGUUGUCCGGAAUUAUUGGGCGUAAAGAGCUCGUAGGCGGCUUGUCACGUCGGUUGUGAAAGCCCGGGGCUUAACCCCGGGUCUGCAGUCGAUACGGGCAGGCUAGAGUUCGGUA
rnacentral:rRNA from 1 species